UACGGAGGGUGCGAGCGUUGUUCGGAAUCACUGGGCGUAAAGGGCGUGUAGGCGGUCCGCUAAGUCUGAUGUGAAAGCCCGGGGCUCACCCCCGGAAGGGCAUUGGAAACUGACGGACUCGAGUCCCGAAGAGGAGGGUGGAAUUCCUGGUGUAGCGGUGAAAUGCGUAGAUAUCUGGAGGAACACCGGUGGCGAAGGCGGCAUCCUGGACCAAUACUGACACUGAGGAGCGAAAGCCAGGGGAGCAAACGGG
rnacentral:rRNA from 1 species